rnacentral:rRNA from 1 species
CCUACGGGAGGCUGCAGUCGAGAAUCAUUCACAAUGGGGGAAACCCUGAUGGUGCGACGCCGCGUGGGGGAAUGAAGGUCUUCGGAUUGUAAACCCCUGUCAUGUGGGAGCAAAUUAAAAAGAUAGUACCACAAGAGGAAGAGACGGCUAACUCUGUGCCAGCAGCCGCGGUAAUACAGAGGUCUCAAGCGUUGUUCGGAAUCACUGGGCGUAAAGCGUGCGUAGGCUGUUUCGUAAGUCGUGUGUGAAAGGCGCGGGCUCAACCCGCGGACGGCACAUGAUACUGCGAGACGAGAGUAAGGGAGGGGGAACCGGAAUUCUCGGUGUAGCAGUGAAAUGCGUAGAUAUCGAGAGGAACACUCGUGGCGAAGGCGGGUUCCUGGACAUUAACUGACGCUGAGGCACGAAGGCCAGGGGAGCGAAAGGGAUUAGAUACCCGUGUAGUC